rnacentral:sRNA from 1 species
UAACUGUACUUCGAUAUUUGGAUGGUU